rnacentral:rRNA from 1 species
GAUGAACGCUGGCGGCGUGCCUAACACAUGCAAGUCGAACGGAGUCCAGCCUUUAAGACCUUCGGGUCAAAGAGGGGAAGACUGAGUGGCGGACGGGUGAGUAACACGUGGGCAACCUGGCUCAUAGAGGGGGAUAACAGAGAGAAAUUUCUGCUAAUACCGCAUAAGCACACACUGCCGCAUGGCAGGGGGUGAAAAGAGAAUCGCUAUGAGAUGGACCCGCGUCUGAUUAGCCAGUUGGCAGGGUAAGAGCCUACCAAAGCGACGAUCAGUAGCCGAUCUGAGAGGAUGAACGGCCACAUUGGGACUGAGACACGGCCCAAACUCCUACGGGAGGCAGCAGUGGGGGAUAUUGCACAAUGGGGGGAACCCUGAUGCAGCGACGCCGCGUGAGUGAAGAAGUAUUUCGGUAUGUAAAGCUCUAUCAGCAGGGAAGAUAAUGACAGUACCUGAAUAAGAAGCCCCGGCUAACUACGUG